GACGAACGCUGGCGGCGUGCUUAACACAUGCAAGUGGUGCGACGAACCAGGCUUCGGCCUGGGGCGAAGCCGCGAACGGGUGAGUAACACGUGGGCAAUCUGCCCCGUCGAUCGGGACAACCCGGGGAAACCCGGGCUAAUACCGAAUGUGGUGCCGGCUCAUGAGAGCCGGUACGAAAGGAAGCUUCGGCCUCCGCUACGGGAUGAGCCCGCGGCCCAUUAGCUAGUUGGUGGGGUAAAGGCCUACCAAGGCGACGAUCUGUAGCGGGUCUGAGAGGAUGAGCCGCCAGACUGGGACUGAGACACGGCCCAGACUCCUACGGGAGGCAGCAGUGGGGAAGAUUGGACAAUGGGCGAAAGCCUGAUCCAGCCAUGCCGCGUGUGUGAAGAAGGCCUUUUGGUUGUAAAGCACUUUAAGCGAGGAGGAGGCUACUAGUACUAAUACUACUGGAUAGUGGACGUUACUCGCAGAAUAAGCACCGACUAACUCUGUGCCAGCCGCCGCCGUAA
rnacentral:rRNA from 1 species